rnacentral:rRNA from 1 species
GACGAACGCUGGCGGCGUGCCUAAUACAUGCAAGUCGAACGCAGUGGGGACGGGUGAGUAACACGUGGGUAACCUCCCAUCAGAGGGGAUAACACUUGGAAACAGGUGAUAAUCCGAUACUGAUGGAUGGAACCGCGGUGCAUUAGCUAGUGGUUGAGGUAACGGCUCAACAAGGCCACGAUGUAUAGCCGACCUGAGAGCGUGCUCGGCCACACUGGGAGUGAGACAUGGCCCCGACUCCUACGGGAUGCAGCCGUAGGGAAUCUGCGGCAAUGGACGAAAUUCUGACCGAGCAACGCCGCGUGAGUGAAGAAGGUUUUCGGAUCGUAAAACUCUGUUGUUAGAUAAGCGGUAUCUAACCAGAAAGCCACGGCUAAUUCCGUGCCAGCAGCCGCGGUAAUAC